AUAAUCACAGGGCUGCUUUGAAAAUUGCAUCGAGCAGUUCGGCAGCCGGGGAGGGAGGAAUUACACCCGUGUGAAAACCAUCCUCACCGGCACGCACAGGGAGCAGGGAAAAGCGGCCAAAACGCUCGCUCCUUUUCCCUCGCCCCUCUUCCCUGGGAAAUAUUCGCUAGGCUGAAAUCCCCUCCCGGAGGGGGUCCCUUCGCUCUCGGGUUGAGAGGGGAAGGCCACAGCUGCUGCUCAGAGGGAGCAGGGACCUGGAGCUUCCCCUGCCCGGCCCGGCUCGGCCCGGCGCGCCCCGUACGGCGGCUGUGGCCGCUCCGCUCCGCGCCCUGCUCGCUUGCUGUGCCUGCUGUGCACAUCCAUACGUCCCUAUACAUCCCUAUAUAUCGAUGGAUGUGCCUGCGUGCCCACGGACAGAGCAACCGCAGGGAGCAGAGCCUGGGGAGCACCGGCUCCCUGGUUUUGUCACGGAGAAAAUAGGCCGGGAAUGGUCGGAACAGAAACCAAGAGGGCUCGGGAUGGGGUUUCCCUGUAUUUUCCUGCAUCCCCCAGGUUCCCCAUGUCACUCUCCAGCCGUGUCCCGGGGCACCUCCCGCCGCUGCCUGCGCUGCCCGGGCCGGGGCCGCUCGGUGCCCACCGGGGCACGGCUCCCGCAGCUCCUCUCGGGGGCUUUGCCGGCCCCGCAUCCCGACGGGCCGCUCUCCCCUGUCCUCUUGGCGUCUACAAGGAGAAAAUCUGGCAGGGGCUCCCUUCCCAGCAAUCCCCGAUCUGCUCCAAACACACUUGGAGGCAGCCUCUCUCGGAGGGAGGGGUGCGCUACAUUCGCAGUCAAAUUACAUGGCUGGCCUCAGAGGCAACUCGCUUCGGAUUUCCAAACUAAUACUCAUCUUUUAAAAGCCGAGCCAAGAAGAAAAUGCGAGGAAGGCCUCAGAUGCGGGAGACCUCGGGAGUGUGAAGGUCCGUCUGUGUUUUCCACUGCAAGUUAUGAAACCAGCACUUUCCUUCUCCUGGAGAGGGUGAUUUUGUCUAAGAUCUCCAAAGCGGAGUGAGCCACAAGGCUAUCUGUAGGCAUGCAGCUCUACCAACUCACGAGGAAUUCAGCAGGGGAAGACGAGGCACGUGCUCGAUGGUGUGUCAGUCCCAGCAUGAUGGAGAGCUUCCCGUGGGAUCACACCAGAGCUAAUGUUAGUGAGCAUGGCUGCACUUGGGGACCAGCUUUGUGGGGGAGCAGAGGAAAGGUUGCUCCCUCCUGCACUGCACAGCAGCCCCAACCCAAGAGGGUUUGUUUUGAAACCAGAUGCAGCGAGAGAGGCAGCGCUGCUGCACAUGGCAGGAGGGGCGGCGUGCGAAGGACAGAUCCUGCUCCCCGUCCUGCUGGAAAGGGAAGGAAGCGACCUCUGCAGAGCCAAUGUCAUCACAUCAGCGCUGGCGAGAGCUGAGAUUUCUUGUUGACAUGAAUAGUCUUUGUCUUUUGUUUUCCCACAUUGCUGGAGGAUGGUAGCAAAAACAUUAAUGGAUUUGGACCAGCAACAUCACUCAGAGUCUGGGAAAGGAGGAAGAAUGUCUCAUCCUUCACUGAUGAAGCCUAAUACUAACUCACUAGCCCAUCCAUGGCACCAAUAUUACUGCCAGCAGAUGCAGAGUUUCCAGAGGCAAAUGAGCCACUAAAGGGUACAAAGUCUUUCCCAAUAUGGUUUAACACUUGAGCAACACAGACCAAAAAGAAAUCAACUCAUGCAUAUUGCCAUAUCAGAUUAGAACAAAGGACAUGAAUUCUUCAGUGAAUAAGAAACCAGAAGGAAGAUCAUGGCGGUCAGAUAAGAAGUUGGAAAUGUUGUGAGCCUUCAAAUAAAGAGGUUAAGCACACAAUUAAAACCACAAAGCACAAUAUCUGUUGUAAGCUGCAUGGAUAAUCAAUAUUGGAAUGUGAUGCCUUUUAAUCAGGGGGUCUUUUAAACAGCUUGAGGGGAGGCAAGGUUGGAGGGGAUAAGUAUUUAAUUGCAAGAGCAAAUUUGCUACUGGGGAAGUUGAAAUCCAUGUCUGGUAGCAAGUUCCCCCAAAAAAUGUAGGUUGCAGUGAGGAUGGUGUUAAGCAACAACGUUCACAGCGCUUAGAUUGCCAGCGAGAUAAAAGGCACUAUUUAUUAAAGAUAAUUCUUCUGGAUUAAUCUCUUUUCUGUUCUCAAAGCACAAUGAGGAUGUUGAAGUUCCCUAUCCAGAUGAUUCUCUCCAGACCUAUGAUACAGCAAUUGUGAAUGAAAGCUCCCUGACCACAACCUCUGGACAAAACCAACACUACCCUAGAGCUAGCAAGCUGGAAAGGCAGCUAUUUCCCAGAACCUCAAUAGUUCCCCCAAAAAAAGCAUCUGAGCAAACUGUUCUUUUACAUUAAAUUGUCCUCAGCCAAAGUGAAGCGGGUUAUUGUCUUACUAGAAUACGUGUUGUUUGUUGUUUUUUUUUUAAUCUUAAGAGCUUUUGACAACUCUGAAUUGCCUCCUGCAGCCCCAGCGCAUCCUCUGCAGCCCGUGGGAUGCUGGGUGACCCAUUAGGCUGCAGCUUUCUUUCACUCUCCGACUUCUCCUGCAUGCUGCUGGAUCCCAGUUCCAGUUGGCAUGUGGUGGUUCUCUGUUGAUGAAUGAGCGCCAUGGAGCAGAUGGGAUGGAAACAGAGCUGUUCUUGCCAUUCAGUCAGCUCCUAAUGAGGAGUGCUUUGGCACCAAUGUGCUGAGACGUGCCCACUUCUUAAGAGCUGGUUUUUCAUUUACGUGACCCCAUGUGACAGCUCCCUCUCAUGAGAUUUCCUCGGACUUGAUUUAUGAAAUCUGACUUCCAGCUGUACGCUACUUGGGGCACAGACCAGUGUGAUGCUCCUUGUGAGGUUCGCAGCUUGCAGUACACAGCAGACACAACAACUGUUUUAAAAAGUCAGCCAGCGGCCCCAAAAAGAUUUGUCAAAGCUAGGAGAGGGAGGGCCAUCUUUUGCCGGAGAGGGGAAGCGAAGCAAUGCGGGAGCUGUGCUGUAGGAAAAUCUUCAGCUAAACUGUUUUCUUCCUUAUACGAUUGCCUAUGCUGAGCCUAUUGAAGGAAAUCUUUGGGAAAAUACCUAAGAGGAUUUUUCCUUUCAGAUUAAGUGAUUUCUAGAUGAUUUUACCCAUAGCACAUCAGCAGGGGGGUGAGUUCAGCUGCACUUUGCCUACACCAGAGAAAGAGAGGCUCACUCUUCUGAAAAUCAUCCGCUAAAUUAAUGAAGACAAGAAUGUACAUUAAGCUGAACCUAUUUAGCUUAUUAAAGGCUCCUCUCUCAGA